rnacentral:rRNA from 1 species
GUCCAGACUCCUACGGGAGGCAGCAGUGGGGAAUAUUGCACAAUGGGGGGAACCCUGAUGCAGCGACGCCGCGUGGGUGAAGGAGCACCUCGGUGCGUAAAGCCCUAUCGGCAGGGAAGAAACAGACGGUACCUGACUAAGAAGCCCCGGCUAACUACGUGCCAGCAGCCGCGGGAAUACGUAGGGGGCGAGCGUUAUCCGGAUUCACUGGGUGUAAAGGGAGCGUAGACGGCCAUGCAAGCCAGGGGUGAAAGCCCGGGGCCCAACCCCGGGACUGCCCUUGGAACUGCAUGGCUGGAGUGCGGGAGGGGCAGGCGGAAUUCCUGGUGUAGCGGUGAAAUGCGUAGAUAUCAGGAGGAACACCGGUGGCGAAGGCGGCCUGCUGGACUGCAACUGACGUUGAGGCCCGAAAGCGUGGGGAGCAAACAGGAUUAGAUACCCGUGUACG